ensembl:lncRNA
AUGAGAUUUGUUUCUUUGGCGAGAGACUCAAUAAGUAAUAAUAAAAGUAGUAGUGAUCAUGGUGCUAAAAGAAGUGGUGAAUGUGAUGCUAAAAGUAGUGGUGAACAUGAUGCUAAAAGUAGAGGUGAGCAUGGGAAAAGUGAUAAGAACUGUGCUAAUAAUAAUAGACAUAAUCAAAACGUACAAAACAUAACAAGCACUGAUAAUAAUAGUUUAAAAAAAGAACAUAUCAAACCUCAACGAAUCAACAUCUGUAAUGAAGAAGAAUAUGGUUACAAUGUAUACUAUAAAGAAGUAAAACAAAUAACUGAAGUUCCUAAAUUUGAUGAUAUAAAUGUUUCUUUAAAGGAGCCAACUGUUGCCUGUGAUUUAUCAAAAUAUUACAGCUUAGUUUUGUGCCCACCUUUACCCAUAAGUAAUGUUUCUAUCCAUCCUAAUAGCAAUAAUGUACCAGAUAUGAUACAAGGUUAUACUAUAAAUGUAUGUAUAUAUUUACCUAUUGAAAAAAAUGUGUCAUUUUCAUCUUUAAUAUGUGGUGAUAAUGAUUGUCACGUUUGUAUAUUUAGUGACAAAUUGAUUCUAGGGUGUUUAGAAAAUUAUAACCAGUUUGAAAAUGGUCAAGAUAUACAUAAUGAUAAGAAUAGUAUUGAGGGUUGUAACAAAAACUAUAACAAAGACAUUGUUUGUAGUAAAAUACGAAAAAAAGAAAAACGGUAUCACUCGUGUGGUUAUAGUAUUAAAUUUUUAAAAAAAGGAUGGUAUUUUUUGAGUAUAGUUAGUACACCUAAUGGUAAUUUUUAUUUCAUAAAUGGGACACUUAAAGGGCAUCAUACAUAUUGCUCUACUGAUAGUAUAAAAUAUAUAGGUAAUAGUAGUCUAUUUACUAACCCUUUUACAAAUAUAUCAUUUGUUCAAAUAAUUAAUAAACCUUUAACUAUGAAUGAAGUAUUAUAUGAAUAUAACAUGUGUGUUUUAAAAAAUGAUGAUACUCUUGAAUAUUAUUAUUCUUAUUUGUAUUCAUUUUUACCACAAAUGAAUUGGUUUGAAUCGGGAAAGAAAAAUGGUGUAGUAGAUAGAGGGGAUGUUUGUAGUAACACGGGUAAUGUCGCUAACGAUGUCAUAAAAGAUGACGGUAAAGAAAAGGAACGAGAUGAGAGGGAAGAAGGGGCACGAGAUGAGGGUGAAGAAGAAACAAGUAGUGAAGAUAACGAAGGUACAAAUCAUGGAAGUACAUCCAUUUGCAACUAUCAGAAUAAAAUAAAAAAAAAGAACGAUUAUAUUCAUUUUGAAAUAACAAAAAAUUAUAAUGUUUAUAUUUACCCUCAUGAAAUAAAUAAAAAGUAUUAUUUUUGUACGUCAUUAAUAUCUAUGAUAAAUAAAAAAUUAUAUUAUUUUAAUAAAAUAACUAAACAAGUUAAUAAUUUAAACAUAUAUUUAGAUAGCUAUAUAACAUUAGCAUUAGAAUGGACAAUUUUCGCAGUAGCCAGAUUAUCAUAUGUAGAUGAAAUGAACUAUCAUUGUUUAGUUGGGGGUGUGAAUGGAACUGGUCAUAUUGUUGUAAAUGGUUCUGAUUUAUCAUUAGGUGUUUUUUUACCAAAACUUGAGUAUCAAAAUUCUGGAUGUCUGAGAGAGGAAUUUUAUGUAAGUUCACAAGAAGUUGAUGUUAGAAAAGAAAAAAAUAAAAGUGAAGUAAAUGAAUCAUUAUGGUUAGAUAAAAAUAACAAUGUUGAUGAAUUAAUUCGUGACGAGAUAAGCACCGUUUCCGUAAGAAACACUAAUAUAAAUAGUACGAAUCCACAUGAGGUAAUACAUAAAAAAGAUUAUGGAAAUUUUCAUUCUUGUGGUUAUAAAUUAAACAAAGAGUUAAACCAAACGAUUUUAAUAACAACAAGAUGUAAAAAAAAUGAGCAAAAAUUUUUUAUUAAUUCAUUUGAGGUUGGUGUAUGUCCAUCGUGUCCUAGUCCAAUAACAUGUAUAGGAAAUUGCUCGUCUAUUAAUAAUGAGUAUGUAUCUCCUUUUGGUAAUUAUCAAUUUGUUAAAAUUGUAUUUGAUAGUGUUAGUGAUGAUAAGAUAAAAGAAUUUUAUUACUCUCUUCAUUUAUGA